rnacentral:rRNA from 1 species
CCCAGACUCCUACGGGAGGCAGCAGUGGGGAAUAUUGCACAAUGGGGGGAACCCUGAUGCAGCGACGCCGCGUGGGUGAAGGAGUAUUUCGGUAUGUAAAGCCCUAUCAGCAGGGAAGAACAAUGACGGUACCUGACUAAGAAGCCCCGGCUAACUACGUGCCAGCAGCCGCGGUAAUACGUAGGGGGCAAGCGUUAUCCGGAUUUACUGGGUGUAAAGGGGGCGCAGACGGCAGCGCAAGCCAGGAGUGAAAGCCCGGGGCCCAACCCCGGGACUGCUCUUGGAACUGCGCGGCUGGAGUGCGGGAGGGGCAGGCGGAAUUCCUGGUGUAGCGGUGAAAUGCGUAGAUAUCAGGAGGAACACCGGCGGCGAAGGCGGCCUGCUGGACCGCGACUGACGUUGAGGCUCGAAAGCGUGGGGAGCGAACAGGAUUAGAUACCCGAGUAAA